CACCCCCCCACACACACUUUGGGUACUGCUCCCCCUACUCAGCAGGUGACAAGUAUGGGCAAAAGGUCCUCCCAUGCUCCCAGUGUCUGGGGACCAGCUCCCCUCUAGGCUGUUGUGUUUUGCUCCAUUCAGGGCCCUUACAGAAGCAUCAGGUGUAAGUCACAAAGUGAUGGUUUCUGGCUGUGGGUGUCAGCACUUCCACACUUCAAUUUUUUCUUUCCUGACUGCUGGCCCAGAAGUAUCAGACGCUGCAUAGGAUUGUGGAGGAUGCCCACUUGUAUGCGGGGCAGAAGCUGCAAAGGACAGGUCAAGGCUCCUGCCUGAAGUGACAGAAGCAUAGUUCAGGAUAGGACAACUAAAAUAUUUCUACAGGAAACAGAAAGAUACACAACUGUCCCUGGAGCCAGGCAAAUGAGAGCUGUGGAUGCAUGUGGUUAGCUAUGAGGAAAUCUGAAAUUGCUCAAAUCCUGAUGUGGCUACUAGCAUCACCACACAGCUCAAGAGUGUCAGAGAGACUGGGAUGCUGGCACAGGCUUUGAGACACUUCAGAGUUAACACUGAAGAAUUCCCUACAUGACCCAGCCAGCAGGGUACAACCCAUCUCAGCUCAGUUUUCCACUCUAACAGCUGCAGUUUUUUUCCUGUUCUGGACCAGAGUGGUGUGAUUCCAUGUGUGGCAGAAACUGGGCUCUGAAGUGUUGAUGCACCUGAACUUGUGAUGAGAUGGGAGAGAACUGCCUUCAUCCUUGCUAUUCUUGUGUGAGGAAAAAUUGACAGGGAAUAGUUCAGCUGGAAGAGACCUUCAAAGAGACCUUCAGUCCAACUGCCUGAUCACUUCAGAGCUCAAAGUUAAAGCAUGACCUUGAGGAUGUUACCCAAAUGUCUCUCAAACGCUGACAGGAAUGGGGCAUCAACCACCUCUCUAGGAAGCCUGUUCCAGUGUUUCAUCACCCUCGCAGUGAAGAAAUUUCUGCUCAUGUCUGGUCUGACCCUUUACUGGCACAGCUCUGCUGGCUGCAGCCAUCCUGCCAUCAGUGACCAGGGAGCAGAGAAUGGCACCUCAGUCUGUGCUUCCCCUCCUCAGGGAGCUGCAGAGCAGCAAGGCUGCCUCUUAGCCUCCUCUUCUCCAGACUGGAUGAUCCAAGUGGCCUCAGCCUCUCCGCAAAGGAUGCAUCUUCCAGUAUCUUUACCAGCUUUGCUGGCCUCCUCUGUAUGCUUCCAGAGCAUCCUUCUUAGACUGGGGAGCCCAGAAGCGUACACAACAUUCAAGGUGGGGCCACACCAACAUUAAACAUGGGUGAAUGUUUUAUGCAGGUAAACAAGUCCUCUCAGCUCUCCUGCUUGAUACUUGAAUUGACACACAAAUGUUUACAUUCCUUAAUCAAUAAGUUGCUAAAUAAGCCACUAGUUAUCCCAAAACACACAGCAGAUGAGAAUGAAUUGAAGGAAUGAUAAAUCACUGGAGAGAUUUUGCUGGUGUGUCUAUGCUAUGGUGCACAGACACAAGAGAGCUCCUUGCCUGCUCUGCUGGGCCAGUCCAGUGGGUGUGCGGUGGCUCCGGCUGGCCAGCAGGAACAAAGGCUCAAGAGAACACAAACAGCUGUGGCCACCCAUUUGAGGAAGUGUAGGCAUGAGUGCAGCCUGCUAGGAUGGGUAAAAUGAUGAUGCUGGACAAGGCCUAAAGACAACACUCAAAUCAAGUUAUGUAAUUACUUUAUAUAAUAAUAUAAAGCCAUAGUUUUAAACCUAUAUACAAGAUCUGGCAGACAAAGUGUUUGUGCUUUGUGUUUUCAUUGGGGAAAUAAAGAAGCAUCCCUUUUUCAUAAUAAAGGUAGAGAAAGUGUUCCAAUUUUUCUGUUGACUUGUAACCCAGCAUGAACUAGCCCAAGAGAGAGCACACACUGGGGCAGAAACAAAGCUUGGGAAGCCUGGAGGUGGUGGUCUCUCUUUUUUCCUCUCCAUAACUCCAAACAGAAAGGAGAAAUAGAGUAGUAUAGGUCUCAUCCAGAAAACGCUUAAAGCCAUACUUAAUUCUUUCGGUGUCAGUGCAAACUACAGCUAUGCUCUGGGGAUGGAGGAGACAGGAUGGUGUGUCAUCUUGCUUUUAUAGAGUUAUGGCUGUAUUCACAGUAAGUUGCUAUAUUCACAAUAGAGCAUGGUCAGCACUAGAGUUAUCCCAGCAGGGAGCAUGGCUACCGAGUUAUCAGACUAGUUCUCUGGUACCUUUCCCAUUUCACUGACACGUGCAAUAGUACAUGACUUUCAAUCUGGAGAGCUUUGACAUUGUCACUACAGCUAGGGGACCUUUUAAUGGCUAUCUAGAGCUUUAAAGGUAUACUUGGAUCAUAUAGUUCUGAUGUGUCUGAUUUUAACCAAUCCUUUGAUUUAUAUUUUGCUUCCAAUUCACUUAAGUGAAAUAACCUUACUCUAGCAGUGUAAGAAAAUGAAAAAUGGAUGCUUAGACUUGAAAAUGUCACAAUAAUGUAUGUUAUAAUUGGGGGAGAUGAAAAUACUUAUCUGAUAAGUUAGCAUGAAUUCAGUGAUUGUUUCAGUCAACCCAAAUGUGUACUUUUGCUGAAAACAAUAUUCUCCUCAGGUCUCCCUGUACAACCAUGAUACAAAUACAACAAAAUUUAUAAGGAUGAAAUUCAAAACAAUGUAAUAAGAAAAUAAAAAUAUAUUGCCAGCAAGUUGCCUAUCACCUAGCUCGGAGGCAAAUAAUAAUUUACAUCUAUGUGGGGUCUUUAAACCAAAUACUGAAUGGCAAGAGUUUCAUUCAUGUGUGAACACAAAGUGUUAACAGAUAACUAGUGAAACAACCACAUUAAAAACAGCUUUAUGGGGAAAAAAAUCAAUGAGAUGAUCAGGUGAAUAUUCUUCUGGAUACAAUGUCACCUUGGAAGCUGGCUGAAGAUGGAAGUGAGGAAGGAAGUGAGUUUAGCUGUGAGGGUGAUUUCUGGAGUUCUCAGGACUUGUUUGCUAAUGCAUUGGAUAACUCAGGCUGCCAGGACUGGAGCAAAGCUUGCAGA